CCCGCCAUGCCUCUCAACGAUGCACAAAUCGGCGGGU
rnacentral:sRNA from 1 species